GUGGGGAAUACCCCAGGCUUUAAAGAGCCAGAGGACAGCAUGUCUACAAGUCCCCAGGCUUCCAUCAUUGCAAUGGAACAGCAACAGUUGAGGGCAGAACUUCGUUUGGAGGCACUUCACCAAAUCCUUGUUCUGUUGUCCGGAAUGGAGGAAAAAGGUAGCCUGUCGCUGGCAGGAAGCAGAUUGAGUUCAGGCUUUCAGUCCUCCACAUUGCUCACAUCUGUGAGACUGCAGUUCCUUGCAGGGUGUUUUGGUUUAGGCACUGUUGGACACACUGUUGGAGCCAAAGGAGAGAGUGGCCGCUUACAUCACUAUCAGGUAGGCAAACACCUUGCAGUAUACUUAGAGUUUAAUUGUCUUUUUGUUAUAAAUGCAUUGUAAUAAUGUGAAACUGUAGUGUUUGUGAUGAGGUUUUAAAAUGUAAAGGUUAUGGCUGGG
rnacentral:lncRNA from 1 species